GGGCCCGCACAAGCGGUGGAGUAUGUGGUUUAAUUCGAUGCAACGCGAAGAACCUUACCAGGGUUUGACAUCCUGCGAAUCUCUUGGAAACAGGAGAGUGCCUUCGGGAACGCAGUGACAGGUGGUGCAUGGCUGUCGUCAGCUCGUGUCGUGAGAUGUUCGGUUAAGUCCGGCAACGAGCGCAACCCUUGUCCUUAGUUGCCAGCAGUUCGGCUGGGCACUCUAAGGAGACUGCCGGUGUGAAACCGGAGGAAGGUGGGGAUGACGUCAAGUCCUCAUGGCCCUUAUGCCCAGGGCUACACACGUGCUACAAUGGGCGGUACAAAGGGUUGCGAAGCCGCGAGGUGGAGCCAAUCCCAAAAAGCCGUCCUCAGUUCGGAUUACAGUCUGCAACUCGACUGUAUGAAGGUGGAAUCGCUAGUAAUCG
rnacentral:rRNA from 1 species